rnacentral:rRNA from 1 species
GAACGAACGCUGGCGGCAUGCCUAAUACAUGCAAGUCGAACGAGAUCUUCGGAUCUAGUGGCGCACGGGUGCGUAACGCGUGGGAAUCUGCCCUUGGGUUCGGAAUAACUUCUGGAAACGGAAGCUAAUACCGGAUGAUGACGUAAGUCCAAAGAUUUAUCGCCCAAGGAUGAGCCCGCGUAGGAUUAGCUAGUUGGUGGGGUAAAGGCCCACCAAGGCGACGAUCCUUAGCUGGUCUGAGAGGAUGAUCAGCCACACUGGGACUGAGACACGGCCCAGACUCCUACGGGAGGCAGCAGUAGGGAAUAUUGGACAAUGGGGGAAACCCUGAUCCAGCAAUGCCGCGUGAGUGAUGAAGGCCUUAGGGUUGUAAAGCUCUUUUACCCGGGAUGAUAAUGACAGUACCGGGAGAAUAAGCUCCGGCUAACUCCGUG